rnacentral:misc_RNA from 1 species
AAGUCGUAACAAGGUUUCCGUGGGUGAACCUGCGGAAGGAUCAUUAUCGAACUAUAAGGCAAGGGUUGUAGCUGGUCCUCCGGGGCAUGUGCACGCCCGAGCCGAUUUAAUCCAACACACACCUGUGAACACACCGUAGGCCUUCGGGCCUAUGUCUUUAAUCACCAACUCCAAUGUCUCUACAGAAUGUCGUCUUUUUAUAUUUGUUGCCCUAAGAAAGCAAUCGAAUUAAAUACAA